rnacentral:rRNA from 1 species
AUUGAACGCUGGCGGCAGGCCUAACACAUGCAAGUCGAGCGGAUGAGUGGAGCUUGCUCCAUGAUUCAGCGGCGGACGGGUGAGUAAUGCCUAGGAAUCUGCCUGGUAGUGGGGGACAACGUUUCGAAAGGAACGCUAAUACCGCAUACGUCCUACGGGAGAAAGCAGGGGACCUUCGGGCCUUGCGCUAUCAGAUGAGCCUAGGUCGGAUUAGCUAGUAGGUGAGGUAAUGGCUCACCUAGGCGACGAUCCGUAACUGGUCUGAGAGGAUGAUCAGGCACACUGGAACUGAGACACGGUCCAGACUCCUACGGGAGGCAGCAGUGGGGAAUAUUGGACAAUGGGCGAAAGCCUGAUCCAGCCAUGCCGCGUGUGUGAAGAAGGUCUUCGGAUUGUAAAGCACUUUAAGUUGGGAGGAAGGGCAGUAAGUUAAUACCUUGCUGUUUUGACGUUACCAACAGAAUAAGCACCGGCUAACUUCGUGCCAGCCGCCGCGGUAAGAC